GGGUUGUGAGGUUAAGCGACUAAGCGUACACGGUGGAUGCCCUGGCAGUCAGAGGCGAUGAAGGACGUGCUAAUCUGCGAAAAGCGUCGGUAAGGUGAUAUGAACCGUUAUAACCGGCGAUGUCCGAAUGGGGAAACCCAGUGCAAUUCGUUGCACUAUCGUUAACUGAAUACAUAGGUUAACGAGGCGAACCGGGGGAACUGAAACAUCUAAGUACCCCGAGGAAAAGAAAUCAACCGAGAUUCCCCCAGUAGCGGCGAGCGAACGGGGAGCAGCCCAGAGUCUGAAUCAGCUUGUGUGUUAGUGGAACGGUCUGGAAAGUCCGACGGUACAGGGUGAUAGUCCCGUACACCAAAAUGCACAGGUUGUGAACUCGAAGAGUAGGGCGGGACACGUGGUAUCCUGUCUGAAUAUGGGGGGACCAUCCUCCAAGGCUAAAUACUCCUGACUGACCGAUAGUGAACCAGUACCGUGAGGGAAAGGCGAAAAGAACCCCGGCGAGGGGAGUGAAAAAGAACCUGAAACCGUGUACGUACAAGCAGUGGGAGCACCUUCGGGUGUGACUGCGUACCUUUUGUAUAAUGGGUCAGCGACUUAUAUUCUGUAGCAAGGUUAACCGUAUAGGGGAGCCGCAGGGAAACCGAGUCUUAACUGGGCGUUAAGUUGCAGGGUAUAGACCCGAAACCCGGUGAUCUAGCCAUGGGCAGGUUGAAGGUUGGGUAACACUAACUGGAGGACCGAACCGACUAAUGUUGAAAAAUUAGCGGAUGACUUGUGGCUGGGGGUGAAAGGCCAAUCAAACCGGGAGAUAGCUGGUUCUCCCCGAAAGCUAUUUAGGUAGCGCCUCGUGAACUCAUCUUCGGGGGUAGAGCACUGUUUCGGCUAGGGGGUCAUCCCGACUUACCAACCCGAUGCAAACUACGAAUACCGAAGAAUGUUAUCACGGGAGACACACGGCGGGUGCUAACGUCCGUCGUGAAGAGGGAAACAACCCAGACCGCCAGCUAAGGUCCCAAAGUCAUGGUUAAGUGGGAAACGAUGUGGGAAGGCACAGACAGCCAGGAUGUUGGCUUAGAAGCAGCCAUCAUUUAAAGAAAGCGUAAUAGCUCACUGGUCGAGUCGGCCUGCGCGGAAGAUGUAACGGGGCUAAACCAUGCACCGAAGCUGCGGCAGCGACACUAUGUGUUGUUGGGUAGGGGAGCGUUCUGUAAGCCUGCGAAGGUGACCUGUGAGGGUUGCUGGAGGUAUCAGAAGUGCGAAUGCUGACAUAAGUAACGAUAAAGCGGGUGAAAAGCCCGCUCGCCGGAAGACCAAGGGUUCCUGUCCAACGUUAAUCGGGGCAGGGUGAGUCGACCCCUAAGGCGAGGCCGAAAGGCGUAGUCGAUGGGAAACAGGUUAAUAUUCCUGUACUUGGUGUUACUGCGAAGGGGGGACGGAGAAGGCUAUGUUAGCCGGGCGACGGUUGUCCCGGUUUAAGCAUGUAGGCUGAUUGUCCAGGCAAAUCCGGAUAAUCAAGGCUGAGGUGUGAUGACGAGGCACUACGGUGCUGAAGUAACAAAUGCCCUGCUUCCAGGAAAAGCCUCUAAGCAUCAGGUAACAUCAAAUCGUACCCCAAACCGACACAGGUGGUCAGGUAGAGAAUACCAAGGCGCUUGAGAGAACUCGGGUGAAGGAACUAGGCAAAAUGGUGCCGUAACUUCGGGAGAAGGCACGCUGGUGUGUAGGUGAAGCCCCUGCGGGUGGAGCUGAGACCAGUCGAAGAUACCAGCUGGCUGCAACUGUUUAUUAAAAACACAGCACUGUGCAAACACGAAAGUGGACGUAUACGGUGUGACGCCUGCCCGGUGCCGGAAGGUUAAUUGAUGGGGUUAUCCGUAAGGAGAAGCUCUUGAUCGAAGCCCCGGUAAACGGCGGCCGUAACUAUAACGGUCCUAAGGUAGCGAAAUUCCUUGUCGGGUAAGUUCCGACCUGCACGAAUGGCGUAAUGAUGGCCAGGCUGUCUCCACCCGAGACUCAGUGAAAUUGAACUCGCUGUGAAGAUGCAGUGUACCCGCGGCAAGACGGAAAGACCCCGUGAACCUUUACUAUAGCUUGACACUGAACAUUGAGCCUUGAUGUGUAGGAUAGGUGGGAGGCUUUGAAGCGUGGACGCCAGUCUGCGUGGAGCCAACCUUGAAAUACCACCCUUUAAUGUUUGAUGUUCUAACGUUGGCCCCUGACCGGGGUUGCGGACAGUGUCUGGUGGGUAGUUUGACUGGGGCGGUCUCCUCCCAAAGCGUAACGGAGGAGCACGAAGGUUAGCUAAUCCUGGUCGGACAUCAGGAGGUUAGUGCAAUGGCAUAAGCUAGCUUGACUGCGAGCGUGACGGCGCGAGCAGGUGCGAAAGCAGGUCAUAGUGAUCCGGUGGUUCUGAAUGGAAGGGCCAUCGCUCAACGGAUAAAAGGUACUCCGGGGAUAACAGGCUGAUACCGCCCAAGAGUUCAUAUCGACGGCGGUGUUUGGCACCUCGAUGUCGGCUCAUCACAUCCUGGGGCUGAAGUAGGUCCCAAGGGUAUGGCUGUUCGCCAUUUAAAGUGGUACGCGAGCUGGGUUUAGAACGUCGUGAGACAGUUCGGUCCCUAUCUGCCGUGGGCGCUGGAGAAUUGAGGGGGGCUGCUCCUAGUACGAGAGGACCGGAGUGGACGCAUCACUGGUGUUCGGGUUGUCAUGCCAAUGGCACUGCCCGGUAGCUAAAUGCGGAAGAGAUAAGUGCUGAAAGCAUCUAAGCACGAAACUUGCCCCGAGAUGAGUUCUCCCUGAGACUUUAAGUCUCCUGAAGGAACGUUGAAGACGACGACGUUGAUAGGCCGGGUGUGUAAGCGCAGCGAUGCGUUGAGCUAACCGGUACUAAUGAACCGUGAGGCUUAACCUUACAACGCCGAAG
rnacentral:rRNA from 2 species